AAUAAUCAUAUGGAUGACUUUUUUGGUACUAAAAUGGUGUUUUUGACUCUUGCUAGCUCGUGGUCACACUGUACAUCUGUUAUACAGCAAAACUGAAGCGUAAUCAUUCUGCUGAACGUCUGUGUUUAUUCAGGUUUGGUGUUCAGUGAAUGAUACGGCGGUUCAUCCUGAUGUCAGAAGGAUCAGUGAGCGCUGAUGGGAAAAGCGUCGGUGUGUCAGUCGAGGACAGAGAGGCUUUUCUCGCUCAGUUCAUCUGGGAACCGCUCGUUCCUCACCCACAAUUCCCAGUGGUGUCGCGUGAUUGGACGGCAGCCUGAGUCUGUGACCAGAAUCCAGCUGAUACUGAACGACACGCCCGAGGCUUUGACUCCCAUGAGGCCGUGGCUUGUGAGUCAAUGAGAAAUGCCUGAAUCUGACCCUCUUCAUCAAGUGAUCAUCAUCAUCAUCAUCAUCAUACUGACAAAACAGCAGAAUAAGAGCAGCAUAUGGAAAGGAGGUGAAACUCUUGGAGCAGUGCUGCAGAAACAAUGAUCUAACCCUUAAUGUCAGCAAGACAAAGGAAAUGAUCGUUGUCUUCAGGAAGUCUUCUGUGACUCAUGAUCCAAUGAUCAUUAAUGGUGCUGCAGUAAAAAUAGUGGAAGCUUCAAGUUUCUGGGUGUUUAUAUAACAAAUGAUUUUGCUUGGAACGAGAACAACAUUUCCUUGGUGAAGAAACACCAACAAUGACUAGACUUCCUGAGAAUACUUAAAAAAGCAGGCAUGAGUAACACCAUCAUGACCAGCAUUUAUAGACGUGUACUGGAGAGCAAUAACAUCACAGUCUGCUUUGGCCGCUGACAGCACGGCCCUACAGAAGGUGGUAAAGGCUGCCCAGAAUAUCACGGCAUCCAGUCUCCCAUCUAUGAAGACGUGGAGAUCUAUGGACAUCUAUAAAGUGCAGCGCCUCAAGAGAGCAACCAGCGUUAUGAAGGAGAGCACUCGCCCCGCUGCCGGUCUGUUCUGCCUACUUUCAUCUUGAAGAAGACCCCAAACAACAAUACAGAUUACAAGACAAGAAACAGCUUCUUUCCUCAUGUGAUCAGGUUAUUGAACAGCUGUGGCUGAGCACUGCUCUCAUCUUCAUCUCUGUCUCUUGUGGGCCCAACAGUGGACACUGGAUACCAUGUUAACUCUCCCUCCAAAUAUACUUUGCACUCUUCUACUUUAAGGACUACAGUUUAAUGUUUAUUAUUGCACAUUAUGGUUUAUCUCAGUGCAGCAUUUGCAGACUUAUUAUUCCAGUUUAAUUGAUGAGAUAACUUUGCAGUGUGUUGUCAUUAUUGUUGCUAAUGUGUUUUGUGGAAUACAUAUGUUUUAUUACAUUAUGAUGCUGUUUCUCGUUUGUCUCUGUGGGAGAAAUGAGAAUAAAACAC